rnacentral:lncRNA from 10 species
ACAGUUUCUCCCUGGUUCUCUCUUGGGAUGAUUCCCCUUGGAACCCAGGCGCCACGCUGUGAAGAGACCUAGACAACAUGGAGAUACUCAUUUGGAGAAGAAUGGAGAUCCGUGGCCCUCAGCCCCAGCAUUUAAAAAAAUAAAAGGAGAGGACACACAGAAGAGAAUGCCAUGUGAAGAUGGAAGUACAGAUUAGAAUGAUGAGUCUACAAGCCAAGGAACACCAAGAAUUGCAGGAACCACCAGAAGCUGGGAGAGAGACAUGGAACAUGAGAGCUUCCAGAAGGAACCAACUUUGCUGAUGCCCUGGUUUUGGACUUCUGACCUCCUAAACUGUGAGAGAAUAAAUUUCUGUUGUUUUCAGCCACUCAUUUGUGAUAAUUGGUUAUGGAAGCCCUAAAAACUAACAGUUUCACUAUCUAUAAAGAGAAACUUACUACCAAAAAAAAAAGGAACAAAAUAGAGCUAUAUGCAAUUUUUUAAAAAAAUGGGGAUAAUUAUUGUACCUACUGUAACAUAGUUCUAAAGAGUAAGAUAAUGCCUGUGAAGCAUAUCAUCAACAUUCAGAAGUUGUAUGUUAUUAUAUGUUCUUUUUAAAUCAGUUUCUAAUUGAAUAUUGAUAUGGUUUGGCUAUGUCCUCACCAAAAUCUCAUCUUGAAUUGUUGUUCCCGUAAUUCCCACGUGUCAGGUCCCCACCAGGUCCCCACCAGGGAGGGGUUCAUCAGUUCUCACAAGAUCUGAUAGUUUUAUAAGGGGUUUCUCCUUUUGCUUGGCUCUCACUCUUCUCUAUCCUGCCACCUUGUGAAGAAGGAUGUGUUUGCUUCCCUUUCCACUAUGAUUGUAAGUUUCCUGAGGCCUCCCCAGCCCUGUGGAAUUGUGAGUCAAUUAAACCUCUU